GGAAUUAAUUUAUUUCAUUAUAUUUUACAUUAGAUAAUAAUUUAAUUAUGGUAAACUAUUAAUUUUUUCAUUGUAUUUUAUAUUAAAUAUUAACUUUAAUAUUUUAAAUUUUAUUAAUUUUAUGAGAAAAUUAUUAUAAAAUUACAUGAGAAAAUUUAAAAAAAGAAAAAAUGUGAGAGAAUAGAAAAAAAUGAGAUAUAAAACAGAAAAUAACAAAAGAAAGAAAAUAAAAGAAAAUAAUGAUAAAAAUGAAGAGCAAAUAAGAAAAAAGGGAAAAUUAAAGGAAAUGAGAAAAAAGGAAGAAAAAAUAGAAAAAAGAAAGAAAAUGAGAGAAAGAUGAAGAAAAAAUGAAGAAAAAUAAAGAGAAAAUGAAGAUAUACAAAAGAAUGUAAAA
rnacentral:lncRNA from 1 species